AAUAAAUGCUAGAGGUGCCUAUUACGGCUGAGAGGGAACUUUUCCUAACUCUUAUAACCUGAUUUAGAUAAUGCUAACGAAGGGAAGCGAUUUUUAGUUAAU
rnacentral:ncRNA from 2 species